rnacentral:rRNA from 1 species
GACAGAGGGUGCAAACGUUGUUCGGAAUUACUGGGCGUAAAGCGCGUGUAGGCGGCUCUGCAAGUCGGAUGUGAAAUCCCACGGCUCAACCAUGGAAGUGCAUUCGAAACUGCAGGGCUAGAGUCCUGGAGAGGAAGGUGGAAUGCUUGGUGUAGAGGUGAAAUUCGUAGAAAUCAAGCGGAACACCGGUGGCGAAGGCGGCCUUCUGGACAGUGACUGACACUGAGAGACGAAAGCUAGGGGAGCAAAUGGG